GGAUAGCUCAGCUGGUAGAGCAUGAGACGCUUAAUCUCAGGGUUGUGGGUUCGAGCCCAACGUUAGACA